rnacentral:rRNA from 1 species
UCGAGGAUCUUCGGCAAUGGGCGAAAGCCUGACCGAGCGACGCCGCGUGCGGGAUGAAGGCCUUCGGGUUGUAAACCGCUGUCGUAGAGGAGGAAGUGCAAGAGGGUUCUCCCUUUUGUUUGACCUAUUCUAGGAGGAAGUACGGGCUAAGGUCGUGUCAGCAGCCGCGGUAAGACGAACCGUACAAACGUUACUCGGAAUUACUGGGCUUAAAGGGUGCGUAGGCUGCGCGGAAAGUUGGGUGGGAAA